UACGUAGGGUGCAAGCGUUGUCCGGAUUUACUGGGCGUAAAGAGCGCGCAGGCGGUCGUUCAAGUCGCGUGUGAAAGCCCCCGGCUCAACUGGGGAGGGUCACGCGAUACUGAUCGACUCGAAGGCAGGAGAGGGUAGUGGAAUUCCCGAUGUAGUGGUGAAAUGCGUAGAUAUCGGGAGGAACACCAGUGGCGAAGGCGACUACCUGGCCUGUUCUUGACGCUGAGGCGCGAAAGCUAGGGGAGCAAACGGG
rnacentral:rRNA from 1 species